UGAAGAGUUUGAUCAUGGCUCAGAUUGAACGCUGGCGGCAGGCCUAACACAUGCAAGUCGAACGGUAACAGGAAGCAGCUUGCUGCUUUGCUGACGAGUGGCGGACGGGUGAGUAAUGUCUGGGAAACUGCCUGAUGGAGGGGGAUAACUACUGGAAACGGUGGCUAAUACCGCAUAACGUCGCAAGACCAAAGAGGGGGACCUUCGGGCCUCUUGCCAUCAGAUGUGCCCAGAUGGGAUUAGCUUGUUGGUGAGGUAACGGCUCACCAAGGCGACGAUCCCUAGCUGGUCUGAGAGGAUGACCAGCCACACUGGAACUGAGACACGGUCCAGACUCCUACGGGAGGCAGCAGUGGGGAAUAUUGCACAAUGGGCGCAAGCCUGAUGCAGCCAUGCCGCGUGUAUGAAGAAGGCCUUCGGGUUGUAAAGUACUUUCAGCGGGGAGGAAGGUGUUGUGGUUAAUAACCGCAGCAAUUGACGUUACCCGCAGAAGAAGCACCGGCUAACUCCGUGCCAGCAGCCGCGGUAAUACGGAGGGUGCAAGCGUUAAUCGGAAUUACUGGGCGUAAAGCGCACGCAGGCGGUCUGUCAAGUCGGAUGUGAAAUCCCCGGGCUCAACCUGGGAACUGCAUUCGAAACUGGCAGGCUUGAGUCUUGUAGAGGGGGGUAGAAUUCCAGGUGUAGCGGUGAAAUGCGUAGAGAUCUGGAGGAAUACCGGUGGCGAAGGCGGCCCCCUGGACAAAGACUGACGCUCAGGUGCGAAAGCGUGGGGAGCAAACAGGAUUAGAUACCCUGGUAGUCCACGCCGUAAACGAUGUCUACUUGGAGGUUGUGCCCUUGAGGCGUGGCUUCCGGAGCUAACGCGUUAAGUAGACCGCCUGGGGAGUACGGCCGCAAGGUUAAAACUCAAAUGAAUUGACGGGGGCCCGCACAAGCGGUGGAGCAUGUGGUUUAAUUCGAUGCAACGCGAAGAACCUUACCUGGUCUUGACAUCCACAGAACUUUCCAGAGAUGGAUUGGUGCCUUCGGGAACUGUG
rnacentral:rRNA from 1 species